UAUUCCAGACUGCUUGUGUGGAGGCAUAUGUGAAAGAGUGCGCAUGUUAUGUAAUCUAUCAGCUAAUUUGACAAUUAUAACACGGACCUCCUCUGUCAUGGAAAGAAACAUUUGCCUAAGGUCAUCAGCUUUGACAUCCUGUACAUGGCUUUCAUCCUUGCACUUGAUCUUUCCCAGCUUGGAUACCUUAGUCUCCCCUUCAACAAUGCGGCGAACUGUUGUGCCAAAUUCCUUCUCUAUUCUUUCAAAAGUAACUACAUCUGUGUCUUCUACAGUAUCAUGUAAUAGCCCAGCAGCAACCGACUCCCAAUCCAAUUCAAGCUGUCCAAGGAUCUGUGCAACUGCAAUUGGGUGAAUAAUGAAGGG
rnacentral:misc_RNA from 1 species